rnacentral:rRNA from 1 species
CCUACGGGUGGCUGCAGUGAGGAAUAUUGCACAAUGGGGGAAACCCUGAUGCAGCGACGCCGCGUGUGGGAAGACGGUCUUCUGGAUUGUAAACCACUGUCCCCAGGGACGAAAAUGACGGUACCUGGGGAGGAAGCUCUGGCUAACUACGUGCCAGCAGCCGCGGUAAUACGUAGGGAGCAAGCGUUGUCCGGAAUUACUGGGUGUAAAGGGAGCGUAGGCGGGGAUGCAAGUUGGGUGUCAAAACUACCGGCUCAACCGAUAGUCGCACUCAAAACUGCAGCUCUUGCGUGAAGUAGAGGCAGGCGGAAUUCCUAGUGUAGCGGUGAAAUGCGUAGAUAUUAGGAGGAACACCAGUGGCGAAGGCGGCCUGCUGGGCUUUUACUGACGCUGAGGCUCGAAAGUGUGGGGAGCAAACAGGAUUAGAUACCCGAGUAGUC